rnacentral:rRNA from 1 species
CAAAAACAUCGCCUCUUGAACAAAAAUAAGAGGUCCAGCCUGCCCAGUGACUAAUGUUCAACGGCCGCGGUAUCCUAACCGUGCGAAGGUAGCGUAAUCACUUGUUCUUUAAAUGAGGACUAGUAUGAACGGCACCACGAGGGUUAUACUGUCUCCUCUCUCUAAUCAGUGAAACUAAUCUCCCCGUGAAGAAGCGGGGAUAAAACUAUAAGACGAGAAGACCCUAUGGAGCUUUAAACUUAUCCUCAAACGCCAAAAUCACAUAUCAAGUUUCAAACUUCACCACAUGAACUCUCGCGCCAUGAGGACAAUUUUAGGUUGGGGUGACCAUGGAGUAUAAAAUAACCUCCAUGCUGAAUAGGCCUCCAAGCCUUGAGCCAAGGGCUACGACCCAUCGCACUAAAAUAUUAACAUCCAUUGAUCCA